rnacentral:rRNA from 1 species
GCCCACAAAUCAAACACAAAAAUCCAUGUAAAACAAACAAAUCAUUUGACCAACCAAGUAGAUGUGAUCGAACAGUAAACAUUAAAACAAGUACCGCAAGGGAAAUACAAAAAGCGUAAAGCAGCAAAGACUAACACUUGUACCUUUCGUAUCAUGGUUUAGCUAGAAACCAAGGACAAGAAGAAUCACAGCCCAUACCCCGAAACCAGAUGAGCUACUUUAAAGCAGCCUAGCGGGCGCACCCUUCUCUGUAGCAAAAGAGUGGGAAGACUUAAAAGUAGAAGUGAAAUGCUUACCGAAUCUGGAGAUAGCUGGCUACCAAAAAAAGAAUAUUAGUUCAACCCCAGACCAAAACAAAUAAUUAAUUAUAACCUGGGGUAAAUCAAUAGGGGUACAGCCCUAUUGAAACAGGAUACAACCUGAAUUUGAGAGAAAGCACCACACAACACACCAGUAGGCCUUUAAGCAGCCACCUAACAAAAUAUCGUUAAAGAAUUAAUUAAUUAAUUCAUAAACCAACAACAAAACUCCAAAAAAACUAAUGGUAAACCAAUAAUAAUUGGUAUUAUUAUGCUAAAACUAAUAAUAAGACAACAUCUCUAAGUACGCACCCUUCCACUAGAUCGGAUAACCCACUAGCCAUUAACAGACCAAAAUAGGAAUAAACUAACCAAUACCCAUCUUGACACAAACUGUGACCCCGACACAGGAGCGUUAAAAAGAAAGAUUAAUCACUAUAAAAGGAACUCGGCAACCACAGACCCCAACUGUUUAACAAAAACAUAACCUUUAGAUAAACAAAUAUUAAAGGCAACGCCUGCCCAGUGAACAAUUAAACGGCCGCGGUACCCUAACCGUGCAAAGGUAGCAUAAUCAUUUGUCUACUAAUUAUAGACCUGUAUGAAAGGCAAAAUGAGGGUCUAACUGUCUCUUAUAGUAAAUCAAUUAAACUGAUCCCCCAGUAAAAAAGCUGGGAUUACCACAUAAGACCAGAAGACCCUGUGAAGCUUAAACUAAACUAUUAAACCCCAUAAUAAUUACUUUCGGUUGGGGCGACCUUGGAAAAAAAGAGAACUUCCAAAAAUGACUUAUCGUUACAAAAGGCCAACAAGCCAAUAAAGACCCAGCAAUGCUGAAAAUCGAACCAAGUUACUCCAGGGAUAACAGCGCAAUCUUCUUCAAGAGCCCAUAUCAAAAAGAAGGUUUACGACCUCGAUGUUGGAUCAGGACAUCCUGGUGGUGCAGCAGCUACCAAGGGUUCGUUUGUUCAACGAUUAAUAGUCCUACGUGAUCUGAGUUCAGACCGGAGUAAUCCAGGUCGGUUUCUAUCUAUGAAUAGCUACACUCAGUACGAAAGGACCAGUAUAGCAAAGCCCCUACUAAAAGCACGCUUUAAAAACCAUAAAUUGCCAACCACCCAAACCAAGAAAAGGUUAA